ensembl:lncRNA
AUUGUUCUUUCUCAAAUAUCUUUUCAGAGAACUAACCAAUGAACAAUUGAAGAGAAAUGAUUUCAGAAAAAGAAUAUGUACUAGUACUAGAAAUUUCACUAUUACUAUUGCUUGGACCACUAAAACUCCCUCAUUUGUCAAUGUUGUUUUUCAUAUAGGACAAAAGAAUAAAAAUGAAACUAAUAAAAUCCAAAUCUGCCUGAAGGCAUUUGAAAAAACACCUCCAUAUCUCCAUUUGUUAUAUGAAGGAAAAGGAAAUGCUUAUAGCAAGAGUAUGAAUUUUGAAGAUGAUGGAAAUUCUGUAAAGACCAAGGAUAUAUAUUAUGCUUUUAUCAGAAGCAUAUGAAUUGGUGAUUGUCAGCCAGUAUUCAUCAGUGCCUGCUUGAUCACAGUCUAGGAGAGGAACAGUUCCCAGGUCAUAUAAGAUGGCCAGAAAAGGACAGGUACCCAGCCAGGAGAUGAAUGAAAUAUUUUAAAUGAAAGACCUCUUGCUUUCUCCAUCGAAGUUAAGUUAAAAGCAUUGUAUUCCAUCUGGAUUGCCUGCUCCCUUCCCUUCAUAUACUGUGUAGAUGAAAGCCAUAAGUAACAUGAAGAAUCUAAUCACUAGAAAAUCAUGUUUAUUAUACUGAGAACUGAGAACUCUUCAAGAAUGAAAAGGAACAAGGGAUUUAUCUGUGAUCUUUGCAAGAAAGCUGGAUGAUUUAGGAACUGAGACAAAAUGAUGACAGUGUAGUGGCUCAAUUUUAACCUCUGCAGGAUGGAUUGUCACAGGUUAUUGAAAGGCCUGUUGGCAACAACACUGUCUUGAGUUGGAAAUAGUUACUGAAUACAGGUCUCUCUUUGACAGCAUAAUGAGCCAUAAUUGUUAGAACACUUGGACUUCACAUGAAAAUUAGAGUAACCUUAUGCAGUAUCAAUCCUGAAGUGGGUGUUCAUGAUUUUUAAAUAUUGCUUAGAUUUUUGCAUCCAAAAGAAUUACAAAUCAUCUAUCUAGCUGGUUUACCAAAUAAGAGCAUGUUUGAUCAUGGCCUUUAUCAUGAAAAUAAGUAGCAUAUUGAAAAACAUGAAAAUAAUUUCUCCCAACACAUUUAUUUAUGUUCUGCUUAUGUCACAAAAGAAACAUGAUUUCAAAAGAAAUUAAUAGCUCCGCUGAGAUACCAGCUGUGACAAAGACACUCUUUGACACUCUGGUGAUGCUGUGUACGUGUUGAAAAUUGAGCGAAUGCCUCUUGGAAAACUGACAUUGAGAGAUGUAAUAGAGUAAUUGAAUAUUAGAAAACUCUCCAGCAUUCUAUGGAGAAUCAUUUAAUUUUUUAGAGAUUUAUUUCAUGUACACUAAAAGGUUAGUGUGACAUAAAGUCAGAAUUUCUCAUAAAAUGGGGAGUAAAAGUGGAUGUUCUAUAGAAAUGAAAAAGAAAAGUCAACUCUGCUUUCAACUGGGAUAGUGAUGGUUACCUAGCUUUAAAUCCUUACAAGGUCCAUUUUUCCAUAUUCUUCUGGGAAUUAGGAUAAAGGGGAGAAGUGGAGAUUUUUGAAAUAGUGAGAGGGGUCAGAACAGGAUGGUAUGAAUCUAGGGUAAAAUGAAAUUUCCUAUAUGCUCUUAUUUCUUGAGGGGAAUUGUUCUGCCUUAACAACCCAUAUUUUCCAACAUAUUCUAUAUAAUUUAUUAUUGCCUUAGUAUAAUUAUACCGUUAAAUACCUGUGGCAUUUUGGUGAGAGAGAUCACUCUAGUUGAUGUACUUUUUCAUUAAAUAUAUAUUUAGAGCAUGCCUAAAUUUCUGUGACUCUUCUGAUAUUGGAUAAAUCAGAAAGAAAAAUCCCUGCCCUCAUGAAUCUUACAUUGUAGAAAGUUAUUAUGAAAAAAAAGAUUAUCUCUAUUAAUCUAAGCUCACUGUUUAAUAAUCAUGAACAAUUCAGUACAUCCAUUAGUCUCGGUUUUAGGCUGUAUGAUAUGAAAACUUUUUUCUAUUCAAAUUAAGCACAUAUUACUUAAAUAAAUAUCUAUUAAUAUAUGCUAAUAUAAUCA